rnacentral:rRNA from 1 species
CCUACGGGGGGCUGCAGUGGGGAAUAUUGGACAAUGGGCGAAAGCCUGAUCCAGCCAUGCCGCGUGUGUGAAGAAGGCCUUCGGGUUGUAAAGCACUUUCCGUGGGGAAGAAAGCCUUGGGGCUAAUACCCUCGAGGAAGGACAUCACCCACAGAAGAAGCACCGGCUAACUCCGUGCCAGCAGCCGCGGUAAUACGGAGGGUGCGAGCGUUAAUCGGAAUUACUGGGCGUAAAGCGCGCGUAGGCGGUCUGAUAAGCCGGUUGUGAAAGCCCCGGGCUCAACCUGGGAACGGCAUCCGGAACUGUCAGGCUAGAGUGCAGGAGAGGAAGGUAGAAUUCCCGGUGUAGCGGUGAAAUGCGUAGAGAUCGGGAGGAAUACCAGUGGCGAAGGCGGCCUUCUGGACUGACACUGACGCUGAGGUGCGAAAGCGUGGGUAGCAAACAGGAUUAGAUACCCCAGUAGUC